rnacentral:rRNA from 1 species
CCUACGGGAGGCAGCAGUGAGGAAUAUUGGUCAAUGGUCGGGAGACUGAACCAGCCAAGCCGCGUGAGGGAGGAAGGUACAGAGUAUCGUAAACCUCUUUUGUCAGGGAACAAAGGCUGGGCCGUGUCCCCGGAUGAGUGUACCUGAAGAAAAAGCAUCGGCUAACUCCGUGCCGUCAGCCGCGGUAAUACGGAGGAUGCGAGCGUUAUCCGGAUUUACUGGGUGUAGAGGGAGCGUAGACGGUUAUGUAAGUCUGGUGUGAAAUCCAGGGGCCCAACCCCGGGACUGCUUUGGAAACUGUGUAACUGGAGUACAGGAGGGGCAGGUGGAAUUCCAGGGGUAGCGGUGAAAUGCGUAGAUAUCAGGAGGAACACCGGCGGCGAAGGCGGCCUGCUGGACUGAAACUGACGUUGAGGCGCGAAAGCGUGGGGAGCAAACAGGAUUAGAUACCCCUGUAGUC